rnacentral:tRNA from 1 species
GCCGGAGUAGCUCAGCUGGUAGAGCAACGGUUUUGUAAACCGUAGGUCAGGGGUUCGAGCCCCCUCUCCGGCU